rnacentral:rRNA from 1 species
AGCCACGGCUAACUACGUGCCAGCAGCCGCGGUAAUACGUAGGUGGCAAGCGUUAUCCGGAAUUAUUGGGCGUAAAGAGGGAGCAGGCGGCAGCAAGGGUCUGUGGUGAAAGCCUGAAGCUUAACUUCAGUAAGCCAUAGAAACCAGGCAGCUAGAGUGCAGGAGAGGAUCGUGGAAUUCCAUGUGUAGCGGUGAAAUGCGUAGAUAUAUGGAGGAACACCAGUGGCGAAGGCGACGAUCUGGCCUGCAACUGACGCUCAGUCCCGAAAGCGUGGGGAGCAAAUAGGAUUAGAUACCCUAGUAGUCCACGCCGUAAACGAUGAGUACUAAGUGUUGGAUGUCAAAGUUCAGUGCUGCAGUUAACGCAAUAAGUACUCCGCCUGAGUAGUACGUUCGCAAGAAUGAAACUCAAAGGAAUUGACGGGGGCCCGCACAAGCGGUGGAGCAUGUGGUUUAAUUCGAAGCAACGCGAAGAACCUUACCAAGUCUUGACAUCGGAAUGACCGGAACUUAACCGUUCCUUUUCUUCGGAACAUUCCAGACAGGUGGUGCAUGGUUGUCGUCAGCUCGUGUCGUGAGAUGUUGGGUUAAGUCCCGCAACGAGCGCAACCCUUAUCGUUAGUUACCAUCAUUAAGUUGGGGACUCUAGCGAGACUGCCAGUGACAAGCUGGAGGAAGGCGGGGAUGACGUCAAAUCAUCAUGCCCCUUAUGACCUGGGCUACACACGUGCUACAAUGGAUGGUGCAGAGGGAAGCGAAGCCGCGAGGUGAAGCAAAACCCAUAAAACCAUUCUCAGUUCGGAUUGUAGUCUGCAACUCGACUACAUGAAGUUGGAAUCGCUAGUAAUCGCGAAUCAGCAUGUCGCGGUGAAUACGUUCUCGGGCCUUGUACACACCGCCCGUCACACCACGAGAGUUGAUAACACCCGAAGCCGGUGGCCUAACCGCAAGGAAGGAGCUGUCUAAGGUGGGAUUGAUGAUUGGGGUGAAGUCGUAACAAGGUAUCCCUACGGGAACGUGGGGAUG